UUGUUUAUAUUUAAUAUUAGGAUUCAUUACUAAUUAGAAUGUAAGUUAGGUUAUUUUGAUGAUUAUUAAUGUUAAUAUAUAGAUAUAUCAUUUGGAUUAUUCGUAUUAUCCUCAAUAUGAGGCCAUGUUUGGAUAGUUGACUAUGAUAUAUCAGUUACAUGCAUAUUGAUACUUGUUUUGUUUAUGUUGGGUAGAAUUUUG
rnacentral:lncRNA from 1 species